rnacentral:rRNA from 1 species
GAUGAACGCUAGCGGCAGGCCUAACACAUGCAAGUCGAGGGAGAAGCCCUUCGGGGCAGAAACCGGCGCACGGGUGCGUAACGCGUAUGCAACCUACCUUUCACAGGGGGAUAGCCCGAAGAAAUUUGGAUUAAUACCCCAUAAUAUUAUUGGAUGGCAUCAUCUGAUAAUUAAAAUUACGAUGGUGGAAGAUGGGCAUGCGUCCUAUUAGCUAGUUGGAGUGGUAACGGCACCCCAAGGCUACGAUAGGUAGGGGUCCUGGGAGGGAGAUCCCCCACACUGGUACUGAGACAGGGACCAGACUCCUACGGGAGGCAGCAGUGAGGAAUAUUGGUCAAUGGUCGGAAGACUGAACCAGCCAUGCCGCGUGCAGGAAGAAUGCCUUAUGGGUUGUAAACUACUUUUAUAUGGGAAGAAUAAGGCGUACGCGUACG